rnacentral:rRNA from 1 species
AUGGUCGUCAUUGGGGCUGAUAAAAAUCAGCAAGCAUGUUCAAGUCUGAGCAUUGUAGGUGAAAAACAUUCUAGCAAUACGAGCAUCAGCUUGUUGUCGGAUCUCAGCACUAAAACUCUCUCCAAUAGCUGUUUGCUUUCAUUUUCUUGUUGGAGCAGAACCAGCAAAGUGAGGUUGCUACAUCUUUGUUAUUUGAAGAAGAUGAGGCCUCACUCCAAGCAGCCAAGCAGCAAAGCAUCCAGGCAUUCAUCAUUCAAGAUUCAACAGCAGCACAAGUAUUCGACUAUUCGAAUGAGCAGCAGCAGGCCAGCAGCACAAGCAUUCAAAGAGCAGCACAACAUGGGUAGCAAACAGCAGCAGCACAAGCAUUCAAAGAGCAGCAAGCAGCAUCCAAUAGCUUAA